CGUCCUUCGAUUCCGCGUUUUUUCAUCGCUGUUUUAGCGGUUUAUGGUUUUUUCAUUUUUGGGAGAGAGAUCCCGCGCGAGAGAGUCGGUGUCGGUGAGAGAGUGUGACGCUUCUCAAGAGCGAUGAAUUGUGGAAGCAAGAGAGAGAUCGCGCGUGAGAGAGUCGGCGUCGCUGAGAGGGUGUGAUGUUUCUCAAGAGCGAUGAAUUGUGGCACUGCAUGGAAGGUGUUGAAAACAGAAUUCCCUGUACAAUGCGAAUGUCUUCUACCGAAAAUAACGGGAUCUAAUCGCCCAUCUACUUUAUGCAUAUCUAUGUACCAUACCUAUGUGUAUGUCACAAAUAAACUCUUAACCGAAUAAAAGGUAUCAGCACUCAAAGUCUGACCAUAACUUUUA